UUAGCUCAUAUUUGUAUGGAGUGGGAUAGUUUGCGUAUGUUUGCCGCUAGGGGCGCUAUUCCAACAGCAUACAAAAUUGGGUUA
rnacentral:pre_miRNA from 1 species